AAACCAACAGGGAUUGCCCUAGUAACGGCGAGUGAAGCGGCAACAGCUCAAAUUUGAAAUCUGGCUCUUUCAGAGUCCGAGUUGUAAUUUGCAGAGGGCGCUUUGGCGUUGGCAGCGGUCCAAGUUCUUUGGAACAGGACGUCACAGAGGGUGAGAAUCCCGUACGUGGUCGCUAGCCUUCGCCGUGUAAAGCCCCUUCGACGAGUCGAGUUGUUUGGGAAUGCAGCUCUAAAUGGGAGGUAAAUUUCUUCUAAAGCUAAAUACUGGCCAGAGACCGAUAGCGCACAAGUAGAGUGAUCGAAAGAUGAAAAGCACUUUGGAAAGAGAGUCAAAUAGCACGUGAAAUUGUUGAAAGGGAAGCGCUUGCAGCCAGACUUGCCUGUAGUUGCUUAUCCAGACUUCUGUCUGGUGCACUCUUCUGCGGGCAGGCCAGCAUCAGUUUGGGCGGUUGGAUAAAGGUCUCUGUCAUGUACCUCUCUUCGGGGAGGCCUUAUAGGGGAGACGUCAUGCAACCAGCCUGGACUGAGGUCCGCGCAUCUGCUAGGAUGCUGGCGUAAUGGCUGUAAGCGGC
rnacentral:rRNA from 1 species